CUGACUUCCUGUACACAAGCUUUUGAAAGGUUAAAAUUGCGCCAAAAAAAAUUGUGAGAUGUUUGUGUGUUUACCAGCUGGCUUGUUUGGAAUAUCUGUCCAGCUCAAAAAUGGCUCCAGCGGUUAGAAACAGGUGUUGGAUUGCAGAAUGGUUUUAUGGAAACUUCAAGCAUAUGACAGCUUAAUUUUCUUCCACAAGGCUGUGAGACCAGGUUGCAGCUGGCUUGUUUGGAAUAUCUGUCCAGCUCAAAAUGGCUCCAGUGGUUAGAAACAGGUGUUGGAUGGCAGAAUGGUUUUAUGGAAACUUCAAGCAUAUGACAGCUUAAUUUUCUUCCACAAGGCUAUGAAUCCCAGGUUGCAGGUGAUGCUAAAGUUCAGAUGUACAGCCAACACUUGGUAUCUAGUUCAUUGUCAAAAGAAAUGUCUUUACCUCCUUUGUUAAAACGGUUAAGAGAAAAUGGUUACCAGACUGAACACAGCAGUGGUGUUUAACAGCUGGAGUACGUCUGUUUUGUGCAACUUUGCUGCUCUCACAACUCGUGUACCCAUGGAAAAGGAUUGUCCUUGGCGUUCCUGUUUGAACUAUAAACCUGGCUAUUUAAUAAAAUGCUAAUAAAGUGUUUCUGAUAUCUGUUCUAUUAAUAAAGCUGUGACUGAUCUUA